CUGUGCCCGAUACUUGCGUGCUAGAGUGCGGGAGAGGCAAUCGGAAUUCUCGGUGUAGCGGUGAAAUGCGUAGAUAUCGAGAGGAACUCCAGUGACGAAGGUGGGUUGCUGGACCGACACUGACGCUGAGGCGCGAAAGCUAGGGGAGCAAACGGGAUUAGAUACCCCGGUAGUCCUAGCCCUAAACGAUGAAUACUUGGUGUGCGAGUUUUUAGUACUCGCGUGUCGUAGCUAACGCGAUAAGUAUUCCGCCUGGGGAGUAUGGUCGCAAGAUUGAAACUCAAAGGAAUUGACGGGGACCCGCACAAGCGGUGGAGCAUGUGGUUUAAUUCGACGCAACGCGAAGAACCUUACCUGAGUUCAAGAUACGAUGAAGCGCCGGAAUCGGCGUGGCCGCAAGGAGUCGUAUCAGGUGCUGCAUGGCUGUCGUCAACUCGUGUCGUGAGAUGUUGGGUUAAGUCCCGCAACGAGCGCAAACCUUGUCACCAGUUGCUAGCAGUUCGGCUGAGUACUUUGGUGAGACCGCUGAUGAUGAAUCAGAGGAAGGUGGGGAUGACGUCAAGUCCUCAUGGCCCUUACGCUCAGGGCUACACACGUGCUACAAUGGUGAAUACAAAGAGAUGCAAACCCGCGAGGGGGAGCGAACCUCAUAAAUUUCACCUCAGUUCGGAUUGCAGUCUGCAACUC
rnacentral:rRNA from 1 species